GGGAUUGUAGUUCAAUCGGUCAGAGCACCGGUAUAUCAAGUAGGAAGUUGCGGGUUCGAUCCCCGUCAGUUUCG
rnacentral:tRNA from 1 species